rnacentral:rRNA from 1 species
CAGUCGCCGCGGGAAUACAGAGGGUGCGAGCGUUAAUCGGAUUUACUGGGCGUAAAGCGUGCGUAGGCGGCUUCUUAAGUCGGAUGUGAAAUCCCUGAGCUUAACUUAGGAAUUGCAUUCGAUACUGGGAAGCUAGAGUAUGGGAGAGGAUGGUAGAAUUCCAGGUGUAGCGGUGAAAUGCGUAGAGAUCUGGAAGAAUACCGAUGGCGAAGGCAGCCAUCUGGCCUAAUACUGACGCUGAGGUACGAAAGCAUGGGGAGCAAACAGGAUUAGAUACCCCCGUAGUCCCUGUCUCUUAUAA